rnacentral:rRNA from 1 species
CAGCCGCCGCGGUAAUACGAAGGGGGCUAGCGUUGCUCGGAAUGACUGGGCGUAAAGGGCGCGUAGGCGGAUUGUUUAGUUAGGCGUGAAAUUCCUGGGCUUAACCUGGGGACUGCGCUUAAUACAGGCAGUCUAGAGUGAGGAAGAGGGUUGUGGAAUUCCCAGUGUAGAGGUGAAAUUCGUAGAUAUUCGGAAGAACACCGGUGGCGAAGGCGGCAACCUGGGCCAAUACCGACGCUCAUGCACGAAAGCGUGGGGAGCAAACAGGAUUAGAUACCCCAGUAGUCCCUGUCUCUUAUAC